GCAGAUGGACAAGCUUUAUAACAUUGAAACUGCAAACCAGGAAAUUCUGUCAGUUUGCCACUGCCUGCUCUGCUCCAGCUGAAAAUACUUUAGCUCAGGUUCAGAAAUCUUCUCAGUGAGCUGCUAUUCAGACUCAGAAAGUAGCUUGGAGAAUACUCCAGACGUUAGGCUUUGCAAGUUUUUGUUUACAUAGAAAAGUCUCUUUUAAAUUUCCUUAUUCUUGCACUGCAAAGAGACCUAACCUUGAUGGGUCCCAUCUGCAAUGCUCCUCCUGAAAAGAGACAGAGCUGUUUAACUGAACUGACCUAUUUGGAGGACGAAUAGACUGAUUGAAAAAGGUGCCCAGGAAGUCCUGGAACUGAGUCCUGGGGCAAGGUUCUGGAAGGUGGGACAAGAAGAUUCCUAGAAAAGAGGAAAACAAUCACUCUAGAACUGUUAUAAGCAUGCUAACCAGGACUUCAGAGAAAGGAAAAAAAAAGGCUGAACCUCGCUGGUGAUUCAGAUGGAUCAUGAGGAUCUUUCAACAAAGCUAAGUUCCCGUCUUUUAACACAGUUAUUCUCAUACUUUUAUACUGAAAUAUCCAGAAUAGCAAAUGAGUUAAAUAUGUUUUCUGUGGGGUUCUGUACGAAGAGGAUUUAGAGCUUUAUGAACCUAAAAUAACAUAUCACAAGGAGAAAAUUUAUUUGAAGUGGGAGACUUGGCUUAAA
rnacentral:lncRNA from 1 species